AACUAUCAUUAUAUGGUUUAAAGCAUGGACCAGGAGAUAAUGGACUUGGAUGCUGUUCCCAGCUGUGCCAUACACUUUUCUUGUGACCGAGGGGAUUAGUGGCAAUAUUCCACAUACUACUGUCAAAAUGAGGCACAAGUUUGUUCAAAGAAGGCAAAACAUUGAUUUUUAAAGAACCCUAGACUACAGUGCAACUAAGGAUGACCAUGGAAAGCUUGAAAGGCAGCGGUCUACCCUCCAAUGGAGUCAUGUCUCCUUUCUAGGUCGCAAAGCCUAGAUCCUGUACUGAAGCUGGAGUACUUUAAAAACCUACAGAUUUUGCUUCUGAUCUCUGUUUAAACUCAUCCUUCAGUUCUGGGAUAUCACAUCUAAAAACA